rnacentral:lncRNA from 10 species
CUCAUUACUGCCAUGCUUGAGCUAAGGAGACAGUCGGUGGCUGAAAAUAAUUGUGGUGCAGACAGCCUCUCUCUUCCCAUGGGUCUGUAAUAAUCAAAACAAUCUUUUGAAGCAAAUAGAACAAACUCAGAUUCUUUUUCCGUGUUGGAAUGGAGUUAUUUUCGUCAGCUUCCUCCAAUAUAAGACUUACUAAUAAGGAUUGCUUAGGUUAGUCGCACAGGUGGUUUAGGGAAAAAAAAAAAAACGAAGAAAGAAUCCCUGAUUUUGUCAUUUGACUUGCUGUCAGUGGAAGCCGUUUUCACUUCCCUUCUGCAGGCGCAGAGAACGCAGGCUGGCAUACUUUCUUCUGAGAUUUUCAGAGCACAUGCAGCACAGUGGGCUGCUUUCAUCCCAGGAAGGUGCCAGCCGUGGUGAUUGCUCUGAGGAAUGAAUGAGUGGUCUUCGCUAAUGAAGAUGGAGCCAUGUGCCAGACACUGGGUCUUAGUAUGUUGCCCACACUGGUCUCAAACUCCUGGACUCAAGCCGCAGCCUCCUGGACCCAGCUCAGCCUCCCAAAGUG